rnacentral:tRNA from 2 species
GGGUCCUUAGCUUAACUGGUAAAGUAUUUGAUUGUCAACUAAAGGGAUUCCAGUUCGAAUCUGGAAGGACUCG